UAAUUUUCAAAAAAUUAUGAGCUGUUUCAGAAUUUACCAAAAUUUGCUAGCUGGAAACGCGUUUCUGCCACACAAUUUGAUGAAGUCCUAAUCUAAACCCCUUUUUUCCUCGCUUCUUCUUCUUCUUCUUCCAAUUCGAUCGUCCUCGUUGUCAUCUGCUUCCAAUCCGAUUGCUUCGUCGCCCUCGCCGUUGUCUACUUCGUCGCACUCACCGCCGUCUGCUUCAAGAGCCUCUCGCUUCGGUGCACCCUUGAUUCCGGUCGUCCUUGCCGUUUGCUUCCGGAGCUAGUUCAUGAAACCCAAUGAACUCCAGAAAUUCGAUGCCGCCAUGAUGGGGACAUGGACACUUCUUCGACUGCCUCAGGGUCCAACUGGAUAUGUUGGGACAAUGAUCUUGAUGGUGGAAAAGUGGAACAAUAGAUUUCGAAUGAUCUAUGUCAAGUUGGCAAGCAUGUGUUUAGAAUAUAAGUUAAGAUUUUGAUUUUUUGUUAGGCUAUUUAAUUGUAUGUUUGAUGACGCAAUUAAUCAAUUGGCGAUUUAGAUUUGUGUUUUAUGUUUCUAAUUUUCGUCCCUAAAUAAAGAUUACACGUCGUAUUGAAGGGUAAGAUAAAUUCAUGCACUCAUUUCCUUUAAUUUAUAAUCCCUUGAUUCAUUUUGGUUGAUACUUAUUUCAUGGUUGCUCAAGAGUCCUAGUUGUUCAGUUCUUGGGCUACUUGGCGUUGCAACUUGAUUGGUCAGACCUAUGAUCUAUUAUUCUCUAUUGUAUAACACAGAUCUGUUAGUUUUUUGGUGUUGUAGGGAUGAUUAUUAUGAUGUCUUUUUUUUGUUGAACAAGAUGACCUCCAAAGAACCAUAGUGCACCAAGAAGAGCCCAGUCUGGGCACAUUCUUGGUGUGGGUUUGGUGACAAUUGUAGCCAAGAGAAAUUGAUGGUUGUAACUUGAAGAUAUAUGGAUUUGGUUAUUGUUAAAGACAUUACAUCUCAUACCAUCAAGCCUCAACAGAUAGUGUAAGAGGUAAAUUAGGGAAUUUGGUGGUCCUCAAUUUUGAUUCCGGAGCAACAUUCUAAUCAUUACGAAGUAUGCUCCAAAAGGAGUCGCUAAGACCAUCAGGUUAUGCAUUCCUGGACAUGUUUAUGGUACUCUCUUCUCUUAUAGCACAUUGUCAUGUUCUAUAUUUUUUUUUUUAUUUUUUAUGUUAAAACUUUUAUAUUUAUCUCUAUUAAAAAUUUAAAAGUUUAUCUUAAGUUAAAAUUUAAAAUGCUAUAACACUUUCAGUUGACUUAGUGACCCUUUAUGCUAAUCACUUAUAUGGUGUGGCCACCAAGUCAUGCAACUGGCUCAAAUAGUGCUUCUCUUCCUUCGGUUUCUACACCCAGCUAGAUAAGUUGGGUUAGUGAUGUUGACGGUGGAAAGGCGAGACCUAAGAUUUCAAAUGAUCUCUCUUGAGUUGGAGAUGCAUUUGGAUCAGUCAACAAGAUAUGUUGGGGUAGUGAUCAUAAUGGUGGAAAGGUGGUACACUAGAUUUUGAACGAUCUAUGUAGGGUUGGUGAUGCAUGUGGUGAGAAUAUAAUUUAAGAUUUUGAUUUUUUGGAAUGAUUGUCUUGGCGUGGUCUCUCGUGCUCUCGAUUACGUCGAGGUAGAUAAAUUACAAGUGUGAGAUUUUGUCUCACUACGUAAGAAAAUAUUCGAACUCGCGCCCCAUUAGAUUGAUAAAGACAUAGCAAUUAUUCUUGCCAAUUGACCCAUGUCUUGAGGGAAAGAUUUUGAUUUUUUGUUAUUUAAUUGUUUGUUUGUUUAUGUAAUUAAUUGAUUAACGAUUGAGAUUGAUGUUUUAUUCUUUUAAUUUUCUUUUAUAGAUACAAAUUACACAUUGGAUUAGAGGGGACGAAAAUUCUUGCAUUUGUUGUCUUUACUUUGUGAUCCCUUGAUUCAUUUUUCGAUAUUUUUUUAUAGAUGUUGAAGAGUCUUAAUUGUUUUUCUUUUUUUCUCUUUCACAGUGAAAUAUUUCGUCCUCCAAAACAACUUUGAUAUAUGUUAAUGGUACUCUUUUAUCUUAAAAAGGACGCAUUGUUACACCCUAUUUAUUUUGACAUCAAGCUUUCAUGUAUAACUCUAUUAAAAAUUUAAAAUUUUAGUCUAAAUUAUAAUUUAAAAUGUCAUAUAUACAUUUUUAAUUAACUUAGUGGACUCUUAUGCUGAUCACUUAUAUGAAUAGCAUGGCCACUAAGUCACACAACCAGCUCAACACAAGUGGUCCAAUUGUUUUAUAGCAAGUGUAGAUCAAUUUCUAUCAAAAUGAUCUCACUUGUUCAUUAGUCAUACCCUAUUUAUAUAAAUUAGGGUUUUUCUCAAUUUCAAGCUUUCUAACAAUAU